AAAUCUCCCCAUAAUACUUCCUGGGCAGCCGAUAUCUUCCCAAUUUUCAUGCUAAUGGCCACUUUAUUGUCUCUCUCUCUCUCUCUCCGCUGCUUAUUAAGAUCUAAUCGAUAAAAAGAUAUGUUUUAAUCCAAGCAUGCCGACUUUAAUUUUGAGCUAAAAUCACAUGUUUUUAUCGACACUGCAUAUUGAUUUUGCAACACAGUUGCAGUCAAUUCCAUAUUAUCAAAUCAAAUCAUGCUCUGUUAUUUCGAUUUUGGUUUUUCAGUUUCAAGGAAAAUAUCGGAGAAGGAAGAAAGCGGAGGUGAUUGCGCUGAAGAUGACGAUGAGUGGAGAGAUCUAAUUGCGACUCCUAACCGUUUAAUUUCCAAUGACUUUUUUGUUUUGAAGUCUAUAAAAUUAGAUGAACGUGAAGAAGAUUUCGAAAAAGGUAACGAUGGAAGUAGUCCCGAGGAUAGAGAUAGAGUUCAUAGUAUCAGAGUUUCGGUUUCUUCCUCACGAGUUACUGUGUGGCCUCCGAUUCUUAAAAUACAUUGUGGUAUUAGUCCCACUUCAUUGCUCGAUUCUCUGGUUUUGAUCCCUAAUUCCCAGGCAUCGCCAACUACUGGAUCAUUUCAAUAUCCUCUUUUUCUGAAUCAAGAAAUUUUAGGCAUGAAAUCAGAACAUGACGACAUGAUUUUGAUGUUUACUAAUGUGUAUUAGGUAACAGGAAUGGGGAAGAGGAUGAAUAGUAUUGGGUUAAGGAAUAAUUGGUCAACAAACAUCUGAUGUGGCAAAGGGGUAACCGGAUGACUCCUUCAUUUUGUCCAAAUGGACCUAAUCGACCCGACAAAGUGUAAUUUAUUCCCUUAUACUACCACAAAAUAAGUUAAGUGGCUAAAUAGGCAACAACGAGUUCGGGUUGACCCGGGGCUUACCUUUAAUUACUUCUUUCACGACGAGAGAACCGCGUCCGCAUCAGUCGAAGUGGUGGAAGGCCCCCUGAGUCAAAGGGAGAGCUUAUGCGCCUCUCUCCAAGAGAGACGAAUUCGGUCCACUGUCUCUACUCCCACCUAUCCCGCUUAAGGUUAUAUGGAUGAAGCUUGCUUUGGGUCCACCACCUGGAAGAGUAUUGAGAUUUCUUGCUUUGAAGUGGGGUUGUAGUUAAUCGAUUAGCUAGUAGGCUAAGGUCUAAGCACUAAGGGAACAAGGGUCUAGCCUCAAAACCCUAACACUAAGCUAAGUGAACGACCAGCAGCUAAUCGACUAAGUGGAUUAGGAUUGUUAGUGAGUGAAGCUUUGGGAAAGCUUACGAACGGGUAUCCUUUGUCGCUAACCCGUGGCGGACAGAGCUAGCAGGUGACGGUAAAGGUACCUCCACAUUUCGAACCUCGGGAGAGAAGGACGUUGAUCGAGCUUUUCCAUGCCUAGUCCCAGUUUCGGUUAAAGACCCAGAACGGGCUACAUAUCUAUACUAAUGAAGUUUUUAUGUGAGAAAGUCAAGCCAGGACGUCCUUCUCUCAUUCUGGUGCUUGUAAGAUAAGACCAGUAGAUGAAUUAGGAAAGAAGGCCUAUGCCCGGUUAAAGUGAAAGGUUGUAGUGAGAGCGACGGGGCUUACUUUCUCUUUGGUUUGUGCACAGUUAUUUCUAUAUGGGUUCUGUCAUUCUGGGUUGUCGACUCACUCUAUGAUGCAGGUUGAAUUGUUCCAAAACCGCUUCCACGGAAUUUUAGGGAUUUUGGUUUGCUGUAUCAAUGCACCAGUACGGACUCCCUCUAUGGAUUGGUUUGUCUUAAAAUAUCGCAUAGUUCCGAGACCACCAGAUUUGAGUUGUGAUCAUUUUUUGUUUUUCUUUCGGUAACCAAUUGAGUUUUGGUGUCCUUAAUAUUUUUAAAAAUUUUCAAUUAUUUUGCAUUUUAAAAAUGCUUUUUUAUCUACAAAAUGAUUGUCUAGGAUUGUACUCAGA